AACAUUCCCAGGUUCUGGGUAUAUUCUUCUUUACUAAUAUUUUAUCAAUAUGAGAGAUAUGUUAAAUAAUUCAAGAGAAAGUAUUAAAAAGAUAUACUUCAGUUAGGCCUGGAUAAAAUUCACGAUGUCAAAUGAGAAAAAUAGGUAGAAAUGCACAAAAGUAAUGUGUAAAUUCUGAGUAUUUGGCAUCACUUGACAGUUAAAAGCAAUGAUAGUAUAUAAAUACCAUGGGAAUGUUCAAAUAACAGCAAAAACUCAAAAUUUGUUAGGCCUUUCAUUAAAAAAAACUUAAAAGUAAAAAAAAAACCCAGACAUCAUCCUGAUAUUAAACUUGUGCCCAUCUACGUGUCAAUUUAUCAAUUAUCUGAGCUGUGGCUACAUGAUUGAAUUUCCUGAGUUGGACAAGUCAAAAAAAUUGUAAUCACUGAAGAGACCACCUCAUUGUUGCUUCAUGUGCAAGUCAGAGAUUUGAAAAGUCAUAAAAAUUGGCAAUGGAGGGAAAAGGAUUAAGGUCUAAUAUUAGUAUCUUCUGUGUCAGUAUUCUUUAAAGACUUUUUUUCCUAAGACCUUCUCUUUAUUUGACCCGUUCACUUCUGAAUGGAUAACAUUUUGUUUUACAUUCAAAUGAUCCUAUGUAUUGAGAUUUGAUUUUUCUUUUAUUAGAAAACACGUAACUUAUAAUUGCUACUUUAUAAUUUUUUAAGUUACUUUCCAUAAAAUCCCUUCCCCAGAAUCAAACAUUAGCUUUGGAUUUAGGUGAGUCUUUACUAUCCUAAUUCUUCUUCACAUUGUAAUUGGUAUCGAUAGGUUACCUUUCCUAAAAUCCACUGAUGUAUAUAAAAUCCUAUGCUAAUAUUACAAAGCAAUUGGUGUAAGAGAUUCAAGUAAAAUAAAAGCAUGGCUGGUAGAAAAGAAAAACUGCACCAUUCUUUUAAUUAUUUU